rnacentral:tRNA from 1 species
GCCUCCGUAGCUCAGGGGAUAGAGCACCGCUCUCCUAAAGCGGGUGUCGCAUGUUCGAAUCAUGCCGGGGGCACCU